GCUGGGUGUGCUGGCACACGCCUGUAAUCUCAGCUACUUGGGAAACUGAGACAGGAGGAUCUUGAGUUGGAGACUGGACUGGCAACUUAGUGAGUCCCUGUCUCAA
rnacentral:sRNA from 1 species